rnacentral:rRNA from 1 species
AUUGAACGCUGGCGGCAUGCCUUACACAUGCAAGUCGAACGGCAGCACGGGAGCAAUCCUGGUGGCGAGUGGCGAACGGGUGAGUAAUGUAUCGGAACGUGCCCGGUCGUGGGGGAUAACGUAGCGAAAGUUACGAUAAUCACGCAUACGAUCUUUGGAUGAAAGCGGGGGAUCGCAAGACCGCGCGCGAUUGGAGCGGCCGAUAUCAGAUUAGGUAGGUGGUGGGGUAAUGGCUCACCAAGCCGACGAUCUGUAGCUGGUCUGAGAGGACGACCAGCCACACUGGGACUGAGACACGGCCCAGACUCCUACGGGAGGCAGCAGUGGGGAAUUUUGGACAAUGGGCGCAAGCCUGAUCCAACAAUGCCGCGUGCAGGACGAAGGCCUUCGGGUUGUGAACUGCUUUUGUACGGAACGAAACGGCUCUUUUUAAUACAGAGGGUUAAUGACGGUACCGUAAGAAUAAGCACCGGCUAACUACGUGCCAGCCGCCGCAGUAA